rnacentral:tRNA from 1 species
GUUAUGGUGGCUCAGUGGUUAGAGCGCCCGCCUAAUAAACGGGAGGGCGUGGGUACGAACACCCGGCCGAGUCA